CUGCCAGGAGACAAAAAAGAUUUUACCAAUACAAGAGGGACGAGCAAGACAGCCACCGCGCGGGCCUGGAAGGCGGGCAGCUCGGCGCGCCCCUUCCCUGCAGACUCGGCGCUGUCCCGGGGCUGCCCUGCGCGGCUCGCGCUGCCCUUCCCGGUUUCAUGGCUGCGGACCGAGCGGCUGCCUUCAGUACGGUAACUGCACGCGAGCGCGGGCGGAGGAAGAUACCGACUCGGCCCGCACCGCAGGCGGCCGCUCGGGGGCUGAGGGGAGCAGGCGGGUCCCGGCCGCGGCGCCCGUCCAGCCACAGCCUGCCACAGGGGGCGCGCAAGGCCCCCAACCUGGGAGCCCCGCGCCCCAAGUUAGCGGGCUGGGCUUGGAGAGGACCCGAGGUGGAGGGAUAGGCAUGGAAGGCACGGUGCGGACGGCUCGAAAAUCAAACCAUUAGCUCCCAGGAAAGGACAGCGAAGUGUCGUCCAGGACCCCCAAGGUGCCCCUGAGGUGCUAGUCCCCGAAACGGGCUCGAGCUUGGCCUACAGCCCACACCCCAAGGACACACUGGGGACUGAAAGAGGGCGCACUGAACUACAUUCCCUAUUUAUUUUUGGGUGCUGGGAAUCGAACUCAGGACCUCACGCUGGCCAGGCAGGCGCUGCGCCACUAAGCUAAACCCCCGACCGUCCCUGCCCUUCUAAAACAUUUCCCUUCUUAAACUUUCGAGACAGGGUCACACUGCGUUGCCCAGGCUGGCCCUGAACUUUCCGCCAGCCUCCCCGGCGCUGGAAUUGCAGGCAUGUGUGUGGCACCGCGCCUGGCCCACACGCGUUUUCUUCUAGGUGACUCCUCGUGCCUGGCGGCCCUGUGCAGGGGUGCUGGCCCGGGCUCCAGGCCCCAGAUGAGGCGAGCAAGGCACUGCUGGCCGGGGGCGAGGGGCUGAGCGGCCGGGCGGCCUCGCUCCGCAGCUCCUGCUCUAGCCCUGCUCCCGCCUCUCCGGGCUGUGGGAACAGCGGAGGAAAGGCUCCGCCUUGGCUCAGAGAGGACAGGAGCCAAGGCAGCCGUUCUCGAACUUUCUUCCUCAUUCUUUCUGCCCAGGAGAGGCAGGGAGGGGCGGAGCGCCCAGCAGGGACCCCGCAGCUCUGGCUCCGCCAGCUCUCAGGGCUGCAGGGCUGCCAGGUAUCCAGGAGUCCUCUGGCUGUGACCCCAGCAUCUCAACUACCCAGCGCGUCCUCCUGCGGUGGACACUCUACCCUCAGAGACAGCAUCAGCUGCUCACGGGGACGCCCCCCUGUUCACGUACGCGAACGGCCGCAUAUCCGCCUUUCACUUGGCCAGGCUUUGUUUUUAUAAAACACAGCAGACAAGGAAACCACUUACCUGAAGCAGAAUACUACUCUGCCUCUGCAGAAGGAAAUGAACCCACAGAAAGGGUUGGUCUCACGAAGUCACGAGGGUGCUCAGGCUGGGCUUACAUUCGGAAUGCUGCAGCCCUGACUGUGGACAGGAGGCAGCGCAAGCUACUGUGACCUGGAUCUCUACUCCAGUUUGAGAAAGCCAGGGGGCCCUGGACCUCGGCGGGAAUGAAUCCCCCUCCUGAAGUCAGGAAUGUUCCUCACUUUGGCCCAGAGCCAAGCAAGUCAUGAAGACAAACAUGCUGCCCAGGAGAAAAAUGUCUUCAAACACCUGAGACAAGGGCAGCAAGGACAGCUGGGGUGGGGCUGGACUCCGGCUGGAAGGCGCAGAGGGCCGUCCUCCUCUACUCUCCGCCUGCCCCACGCCCAGCCUCUGUUCACUUUUCCAGAUACCCCAGGGAGGGGGCAGAACACACACUGGAGCUGAGGGGCGGCCAGGGAGGGCGACUCCCCUCGCUCACAAGGCUGCCCCGGCUACCGGCCGGAACUGGGCCUCGAGGACCCCCUUCUGGAUUCUGGGCCUCUCAGCAGGAUGAAGUUUCCAAGGGUAUCAAGACUGAUACCCUUCUUCAGCAUCUCGUGCCGUGACAGUUUCCCACAGGACCCCGCUCUAACUGCACGACGGACUGGCCGCCUCGUCACCGUCCACCAGCAGAAGCAGGCCUGUUCCAGACUCUGGCUCUCUUGAAAGUCAGUUUCCGCACUGCAGCGCGGGGUACUGCCCACCACGGGAAGACCUCAUGUUUAUCUUGAGAAUGUGACCAGGGGUGUCCACCUGUACCCAGCCGGCUCCCCAAAGCUCAUGAGCUCAUGGGGGAGGGCAGGCGAGGUGACUGAGGGGCGUGGCAGUGACAAGUGUGUGCUGUGACUCAGGGGAAGCUGCCGGGUUGGAGGGGCGGCCCGGGGCAGGUCCCUCCCUCUCUCUCCCUUGGUCCCUCUCUGCUUCCUGCCUCUGUGCCCUAACUACUUCCCUUCUGCCACCCACCCUGCCUUGCGACCAGCGGUGGACUGGACUGAAGCCUCUGCCAACUGCGAGCCAGAAUAAACCUCUCUCCUUUAACUUGUGGGUGCCCGGCCGUGUCUCAGCUGUGAGAAGUAGCUAAGCAAGGGGGAACCAAACCCUAUGACCUGGGUGAUUCCCUCCCAGGAAUCACCAACUUUUGUACUUUUUUUUUUUUUUGCCGUACUGGGGAUCGAACUCACGACCUUGGGCUUGACAGGCAGGCGCUUAUGCCACUGAGCUAUCUCACCAGCCCAAACUUCUGUACUCUCAAAGCACACCUUUUAACACUUGACUAGUGCAAAGCGGCAGAUGUGGCCUGCUGGCCACAGGAGUGUGGCACAACAUGUAGCAGACACAUGGCUGUUCCCUCAACCUACUCACCAACGGCCCCUGCUGUUUGCUGGUAGAGGUCAGAACUGUGGUACCCGUUGUGACCUGCUGGGCCCACUUGUGUCCAAUCAUUCCAGCGGCUCGCCUGUCACUGACCAGCUUCCGGGGAGUGGAGGAGGGUAGGGAGGGUGAAACUGAAAUUCAGGGAAUUUUAAUGAACGUCACACAGUAUCAAGUCUGAAUGGGAGCCUGAAACAAUUUCAGCCUACGGACGUUUUCCUGCUGAGGGCGCUCACAGUCGUGUGCGCGUCCAGGGGAGGCGGCAAGCGGGCGCGCGCACGGAGCUCCACUCAGAGGGGCGGGGUCUGCCAGGGCCGCGUAACAGCAAACAUUUCCACAGAGAAACUCCAUGACCUUUCUCCGGUCCCCAAAGGUUACUAUUAAAGGACAUUAGACAGCAGAUCCCCUCCUUAAUUAACAUUUUUAUUAAAUAACCCAUUUCAAAUAAUGGUUAAAUUCUCUAAAUUUAUAUCAUUCUAUUAACCAUAAUCUAAUCUCAUUAACCUUGAAAUCCCAGUCUUAACUACCCACUUCUAUACACCGCGGUACUACCUACUAGGCUAAUUAAGUGACCUUCACGGUCCUCCUCCUCCUUGGAAAGUCAUCCCCGUUUCCCCUCGUAGUUCUCCGCAGGGUCCCUCACACGCUCUCCCUCCUGCAGCGCAGCCGGGCCUCAGCCUGAGCGCGCCCAGGCUCCAGGUCUCCUGGCGUCCCUCCCGGGAAGCUGGAUGCUGACGGCCUCUGACCGGAGAAGAACCUUCUGACCACAGCCAAACUCUGCUCACGACCUCCCCUCCACCUGCACCCCCCGCCCGCCCGCCUGGCAGCUCGCAGCCUCUCCUGGCCUCACGACCUCCCAGAGGGGUCGGGGCCGUAGCUCGGUGACCGAGGGAUUGUGUAGGACGCGUGAGGCCCUGGGUUUUAUCCCAGCACCCAAACAGAGGAGAAAGAAAACGAAGGCCCGUCUGUGGGCCACACGGCCAGGAGCACCCUCGCCACGCCAGGCCCCUCCGAGGCAGCGCGAUCUCACGGCCGCUGCCCCGCCCCACGCCCUGCAGCUCCACUGUGCUCCCCCUGCCGCAAGGGCGUCGCUGUGGAUUCAGCCGGGAGGGGGGCCAGAGUCGCAGCCCGCUGCCGGCAGUCUGCCCACAAGAGGGAUUCCCGGUCUUCAGCCCUCCUCAACAGCCCGGCUCACUGCGCGAGGUGGCCCUCCCUCUGGGGGUUUGUAGAGACACAAGGGAGCUGCCUCCGGGCCAGCGGGGAGCCCCUGCCCAGCACACGCCAGGCCUGGGGCUGGAUCCCCGCACCACCAAGGAGGAAGAUACGCUGCGGCUGUCUUCUCCUGUGCUGUGUUUUUUAUCUCAAUGACCUUAGGCUUCUGGAAACAAUCCUAUGUGUGCACAACUGGAGGAAAACUGAUCUUUUAAAAAGUAGGUUGUGAGCCGGGUGUGAUGGCGUAUGACUGUAAUCCCUGCACUUGGGAGGCUGA